rnacentral:rRNA from 1 species
AAAAGAAGUAGGGUGGUUAACCUUGGGGAGGGCGCUUACCGCUUUGUGAUUCAUGACUGGGGUGAAGGCGUAACAAGGUAACCGUAGGGGAACCUGCGGUUGGAUCACCUCCUUA